rnacentral:snoRNA from 1 species
CUCUUUAUGAUGAUUAACCAAUCACCAUCUUUCGUCUGACUUCCUGAUGGACACCAUGAGUUUACCUGAAAGAG